GAAUUUUGGGCAAUGGGCGAAAGCCUGACCCAGCAACGCCGCGUGAGGGAUGAAGGCCUUCGGGUCGUAAACCUCUGUCGGGAGGGACGAAAGGUCGGCGGUCGAAUAGGCCGAAGGCUUGACGGUACCUCUAGAGGAAGCGCCGGCUAACUCCGUGCCAGAAGCCGCGGUAAGACGGAGGGCGCAAGCGUUGUUCGGAAUUACUGGGCGUAAAGCGCGUGUAGGCGGCCAGGUAAGUCGGAUGUGAAAGCCCGGGGCCCAACCCCGGAACUGCACCCGAUACUGCCUGGCUGGAGUCCCGGAGAGGAUGGCGGAAUUUCCGGUGUAGAGGUGAAAUUCGUAGAUAUCGGAAGGAACACCAGUGGCGAAGGCGGCCAUCUGGACGGUGACUGACGCUGAGACGCGAAAGCGUGGGGAGCAAACAGG
rnacentral:rRNA from 1 species